GGCUCAGAUUGAACGCUGGCGGCAUGCCUUACACAUGCAAGUCGAACGGCAGCACGGGUGCUUGCACCUGGUGGCGAGUGGCGAACGGGUGAGUAAUAUAUCGGAACGUACCUUAUCGUGGGGGAUAACGCAGCGAAAGCUGCGCUAAUACCGCAUACGCCCUGAGGGGGAAAGCGGGGGACCGUAAGGCCUCGCGCGAUUAGAGCGGCCGAUAUCUGAUUAGCUUGUUGGUGGGGUAAAAGCCCACCAAGGCGACGAUCAGUAGCUGGUCUGAGAGGACGAUCAGCCACACUGGGACUGAGACACGGCCCAGACUCCUACGGGAGGCAGCAGUGGGGAAUUUUUGGACAAUGGGGGCAACCCUGAUCCAGCAAUGCCGCGUGAGUGAAGAAGGCCUUCGGGUUGUAAAGCUCUUUUGUCAGGGAAGAAACACCGGCUCUAACACAGUCCGGGAAUGACGGUACCUGAAGAAUAAGCACCGGCUAACUACGUG
rnacentral:rRNA from 1 species